GAUGAGAACGCAGCGAAAUGCGAUAAGUAAUGUGAAUUGCAGAAUUUAGUGAAUCAUCGAAUCUUUGAACGCACAUUGCGCCCGCCAGUAUUCUGGCGGGCAUGCCUGUUCGAGCGUCAUUUCAACCCUCAAGCCCUCGGGUUUGGUGUUGGGGAUCGGCGAGCCUUUCUGGCAAGCCGGCCCCGAAAUCUAGUGGCGGUCUCGCUGCAGCCUCCAUUGCGUAGUAGUAAAACCCUCGCAACUGGAACGCGGCGCGGCCAAGCCGUUAAACCCCCAACUUCUGAAUGUUGACCUCGGAUCAGGUAGGAAUACCCGCUGAACUUAAGCAUAUCAAUAAGCGGAGGA
rnacentral:misc_RNA from 1 species